UAGGGAAUCUUCCGCAAUGGACGCAAGUCUGACGGAGCAACGCCGCGUGAGUGAAGAAGGUUUUCGGAUCGUAAAACUCUGUUGUUAGAGAAGAACAAGUGCUAGAGUAACUGUUAGCGCCUUGACGGUAUCUAACCAGAAAGCCACGGCUAACUACGUGCCAGCAGCCGCGGUAAUACGUAGGUGGCAAGCGUUGUCCGGAUUUAUUGGGCGUAAAGGGAACGCAGGCGGUCUUUUAAGUCUGAUGUGAAAGCCUUCGGCUUAACCGGAGUAGUGCAUUGGAAACUGGAAGACUUGAGUGCAGAAGAGGAGAGUGGAACUCCAUGUGUAGCGGUGAAAUGCGUAGAUAUAUGGAAGAACACCAGUGGCGAAAGCGGCUCUCUGGUCUGUAACUGACGCUGAGGUUCGAAAGCGUGGGUAGCAAACAGGAUUAGAUACCCUGGUAGUCCACGCCGUAAACGAUGAAUGCUAGGUGUUGGAGGGUUUCCGCCCUUCAGUGCCGCAGCUAACGCAAUAAGCAUUCCGCCUGGGGAGUACGACCGCAAGGUUG
rnacentral:rRNA from 1 species